rnacentral:rRNA from 1 species
UACGUAGGGUGCGAGCGUUAAUCGGAAUUACUGGGCGUAAAGCGUGCGCAGGCGGUUAUGCAAGACAGAUGUGAAAUCCCCGGGCUCAACCUGGGAACUGCAUUUGUGACUGCAUGGCUGGAGUGCGGCAGAGGGGGAUGGAAUUCCGCGUGUAGCAGUGAAAUGCGUAGAUAUGCGGAGGAACACCGAUGGCGAAGGCAAUCCCCUGGACCUGUACUGACGCUGAGGUGCGAAAGCGUGGGGAGCAAACAGG